rnacentral:lncRNA from 1 species
GCUAAUUUUGGCUGCAAGUUUUCGAAAAUUUCCCUUUUCUCUCUGGAGGUUGAUCUGGAAUUUCUGGGUUUGCUUUUUUUUGGAGUUGCUUCUGAGGGCUUCUUUGGGGGACGAUUCCGAGCUCUCCCUUCUCUCUCUCGUCUCCUCUCUCUCAUUCCCCUGAAAGAGCUUGCUUCAGUGAUCUUAUCCCCCGAAUUAAG